rnacentral:lncRNA from 1 species
AAGGGAGAUUUUCCCAACAGUGGUAUCAGAACUGAUUGUUUGGUUGGGAAUGCUUCCGUUGAAGGGGGAAUGAGUAAAAGAAAAAGAAAAAAAAAAGGAGAGUCAAAUACCCAGAGAGCGGGAAGAGUCGUGUUUGAAAAAAAGAGUAAAAAGGAAAGAAGAAAGAAAAGAGAAAAAAAGAGUAAGGGAGGGCUAAUCUUGCAAUCAGUGUUUUACAGGAAAUGGUAACGCGUACAGGCAAUGGUAACGCGUACGGGAAAUGGUAAUGCGUACGGGCAAUGGUAACGUGUACGGGCAAUGGUAACGUGUACGGGUAAUGGUAACGUGUACGGGUAACGAUAACGUGUACAGGAAACGGUAACGCGUACAGGAAACGGUAACGUGUACAGGAAAUGGUAACGCGUACAGGAAACGGUAACGUGUACAGGAAACGCGGUAAUGCGUUCAAGGGAGAACUGUGUUAAGCAAGAUCGGCUUCAAACUCUGAGAAACGGAGAAGUUCAGAACACUCAAGAUCGUAGAGAAUGAAGAGAGAAGAAUGAAGUUGAUAUUUUAUUGUCAAUUUUUUU